rnacentral:rRNA from 1 species
GACAGAGGGGGCAAGCGUUGCUCGGAAUUACUGGGCGUAAAGGGCGCGUAGGCGGGAUGGCAAGUCGGUCGUGAAAUCCCUCGGCUCAACCGAGGAAUUGCGCUCUAAACUGCAGUGCUUGAGGAACCUAGAGGUGAGCAGAACAGAUGGUGGAGCGGUGAAAUGCGUUGAUAUCAUCUGGAAUACCGGAGGCGAAGGCGGCUCACUGGGAGUUUUCUGACGCUGAGGAACGAAAGCCAGGGUAGCGAACGGG